ACCGUUGGCCCGCCCUUUUCCCCCUCCUUAUGCAAUUAAAAUCGAAAUAUCUCCUUAAGUUAUACGUUUUUUAAAGAAAAACUUAUGUAGUUAGAAUAACAUUUAAAGCUGUAUUUAAUGAUAUAUAUUUUUGUUUUUUCGUGAAAAGAGCCCACCCGACAAGCUUUAACACGGAGAGAUAGGGAAAGAGUCCCGUCCUUUAGUUAAAGUAGUCCAUGCUCUGGCCUAGGUGGCUAUUGUUGAUGUACAUACUUGCAGACUGUAAAUGUAUUGUAUUAUAUUUUUUCAAUAGAUGUUUUUCACUCCUUUAUCGGUUGAGUAGGGUUGGGACCGAAGCGGCUGUUGCGCUUUGGUAGAACACCGCUAGGGCGUCAACCCUGACGCACGGCAACGUCCUUGACGCGUCGUAUGCCCAAUCCACAAGUCUUUUCUUCUUCUUCUUCUUCUGUGUAUAUUUUGGUGCCUCCCGUGUGGCGUUGCCAGUCCAGGAGCGGGUUGUCCUGAGAGACCAAGUUUUGGCACCAGCGAAUUUGCUAGUAUAAUAGUCUACGUAGUUACGUUUUCUUUUUUUUUUACAAUCGUUUGAACAGACCGGUGUCCCAGAUGAAUUUUAGCAUCAAGUCUCGUAUUUUGAACUUGAUCUUCGAUUCACAGUCUUGAGGUGGAUUUAAUAAGGUAGGCAUGUUAAGCUGAAGGUUUUGCUCAGUAAAGAAUUUCGCCAAUCAGGGCUGCCACUUCUAGGGAUAUUUCCCUUUUUAGGGGGAUUUUGGUCCUUUUUUUGUAAUCUAGGGGGGAAGAUUCUGAAAUCUAGGGUCUAGGGUCUGUCCAGGUUGAUUAAAAAAAUAUAAGGGAUUUAAAAUUUUUUUCGCCUUAGUUUAUUGGUCGUUAAGGAUUUUAUGGUUAGUGGGUGAUAAAUAUGGCACCACUGGUGCCAAAUUGCUAUUCCCGCCUUUAAAAAAAAGACAUGUUAUGAGAGCCACCAAGUGGUCAAUCGCGGUAAAAAAAUACAUCUAAAUUGUGAAUUGGGGUACUACAGCAACUACAGCUACUACUAGCCUACUACUACAGCAACAGCCAAGAGCCCAAGACCCAAGAGGCAACAGGCGUAAACAUUCACUUACGAGUUAUGACGAUUGGCGAUUUUAGACGAAGCGUGAAUGACGUCAGAAUCAAUUUGUGAAUCUAGAAAGUUAAAAUUAAAAAACAAAUGGGUUUUGUGUCCCUAGACUGGCAACGUUCCAGGGUUCCCCCUUCUCAAAAAGUGGCAGCCCUGUCGCCAAUGUUUCUCUGUGAGAAGCGUAGUGCGUGCAUUCGAUGAGGACAUAUAGCGGUGUUUCAGGGUUGGAGCAGCCACAGGAGCAAAGCGGUGAGACUGUGUAGUCGAAUUUUGAAACGCGAUCGUUUAGGUGUAGACUGUUUGAACGAAUCUUGUGGAGUAUGCUUUUCUUUUGUCGGCAGGGAUGAAUUAACCAUGGGUCAGGCGUCAAAGAUCUUCUCGGGUGGGAGGAAAAAAAACAUGGUGGCUUUCUAGAGAAUCAACCCUGGCAGCAUUCGCCAGCCAGUCUACUACGUCGUUCUCGGGAAUUCCAAUGUGACUUGGAACCCAGAAUAGGGUGAUUUUUGUCCCGGCUGAAAGGGUGUGCAGAGCUUUGUUUCGGAUGCUGAUUGUGAGCUUGUUCGUGGAGCGUGGGCUAUUUAUUGCUUGGAUGGCGCUAAGUGAGUCCGAAAAUAUGCGAAUCUCUGCCGUGGACUCAUUUUCCGUGAGUUCAGUUGCUUUUUUUAUGGCCAUCAGCAAGUCUUUUCUUUUUUCAUGGAAAGCAGACUGCCUUCUACUAUGUCAAUUGAAUUAUCUCGACAUUCGAAAGCAACUCAAGCCUUGAUUAGUUAAAAACGUGUUUUUGUGAGUCAAUAGUGUAUAUUGUGAGGAAUUGUGGAAAAAAUGACUAUGCUUCACGAUCAAAUGCUUGAAUAUUUCUUCUUUGUUGGUUGGUGGAAUGAAACCUGCAAGAAAUGGACUAUAUUUCCACAAGUUUUCUGGGAUGAUAUAUGGGCAGUCACACUGAACUAGUUUGAGUUUUUCUAUAUAUCUCGCCUUUUCCAAAACGCAAAGGCUGAUCAAAUGGGACGAUAGUUUGAAAUGUUCAGUCAUUUUUUCCACAAUUCUAGAUAUCUCGCCUUUUCCAAAACGCAAAGGCUGAUCAAAUGGGACGAUAGUUUGAAAUGUUCAGUCAUUUUUUCCACAAUUCUUCACAAUAUAAACUAUUUACUCACAAACAACACGUUUUUAACUAAUCAAGACAUGAGUCUCUUUCGAAUUUCGAGGUAAUUCAAUUGAGACAGCAGACGGCAGUCUGCUUUCCAUGAAAAAAGAUGAAGACUCAACACAGUCUUCAUCUGUCCACGGAAACAGAUCCGUUUAGAUUGUCGGUCAAAAACGGAUCCUCCGAGUGGUGGGGAACGGAAUUGUUUUCGAUCACUCUGCGUACGGCUUAUUCCGAUUCGUUUCCGUUCAACGUAGUCUCCGUGGCGGGCGUUUAUUGUUUUUGUUUUUUUCUUUUGAUUUGGUUUUAAAGUUAGUUGUAUUUGUGUUUGUAUUUUUAAAAUCUAUAUAUAUGUUUAAAAAGAAUAAACUUUUUUAGU
rnacentral:lncRNA from 1 species